UACGUAGGGGGCUAGCGUUGUCCGGAAUCAUUGGGCGUAAAGCGCGCGUAGGCGGCCAGAUAAGUCCGGUGUGAAAGUCACAGGCUCAACCUGUGAAUGCCGCUGGAAACUGUCUGGCUAGAGUCCGGGAGGGGCGAGUGGAAUUCCUGGUGUAGCGGUGAAAUGCGCAGAUAUCAGGAGGAACACCAAUGGCGAAGGCAGCUCGCUGGAACGG
rnacentral:rRNA from 1 species